rnacentral:tRNA from 1 species
GCCCGCCCAUCCAAUGGUCCGCUCAAGCGCCUUCUAAGCGCUUGGCCGCAGGUUCGAGUCCUGCCGGGGGCGCCC